AAUAGUUCUUCAUUGCUCUGUUUUUCUUGUGUAAAUAUUAUUUCUAAACUUUCAUAAUACUUUAAAAGUUAAAACAUUGAUGUUGUAGGUAUAAGUGAUGUGUUGUUUUAAGUAUUUUUUUUAUGCACAAAUUUGUUAAGUAAGGAUUAGAGCGUCGAAUGUUUGAAAUGUUUGGUCAUAAUUACACAUGGUAUUUACACAGGUAUCACUCCGCCAGAAAAGUAGAGACCUGUUUAUGUGUUUCGUGUUUCCAAAACAGGGGACGGCGUGGCGCAGUUGGGAGAGUGGCUGUGCCCGCAACCUGAGGGAUCCUGGUUCAAUCCCCACCUUCUACCAUCUUAGUCACGUCCAUUGUGUCCUUGAGCAAGACACUUCACCCUUUCUCCUGACGGGUGCUGGUUAGCGCCUUGCAUGGCAGCUCCCGCCAUCAGUGUGUGAAUGGGUGAACGUGGAUAUAGUGUCAAAGUCCCGAAAAAAAAAAGGCAGAAAAGCGCUAUACAGCAUAAAAGGGGAGAAGGAAGACCAAUCGUGGCAGAAGUAGGAGAAGGAACAACGGACAACGAAGACGACGAGAGCGACCAGGAGAAAGAUGAGCCCCCGCGGAAGACGCAGCCACCGGCCACCGAAAGGCGCGCUGAGACGAGCAGGAAGGGAGGUUGUGCUAGAAAUUGGCGCGACCGACUGGAACCAAAACUUGUUCAUUGAAAGAAUAAACGAGAGUCAAACCUGCUACAAUGCGUCUUGCAUCGAUGGUCACUGACCCCCACACGAUGACGGCUGGAGACCUGUCACAGAUAGCUUGUGCACUACGUCAACCCCUGUCUGCUCAUCAUGGUCUUCCUUUACUCCUGUCAGCCAACAGGAUGUUCAGGUUUUAGUGGGCAAGAUGAAACCCACAUCAAACCCUGUGGAUAUUGUUCCUACUCCACUGUUCUUAAAUGCUUUCGAUGUUGUUGGUCCUUGGGUGUUAAAACUGAUAAACAUUUCACUUCAGUCCGACUCGAUCCCCAGCUUUUUUUUAAAAUGCUGUGGUGAAUCCCGUUCUUAAAAAAAUCUCAUCUUGGUCCGGUGGAGCCUAAAAAUUACCGUCCCUUAUCAAUGUCAAAAGUCAUGGACAAAGUGUUUGCUAAGCAGCUAACCUCAUUUUUGGAACAGCAUGACUUUUAUGAUAAAUACCAAUCUGGCUUUAGGUCAUUUCACUUUAUAGAAACUGCUGUUUUAAAUGUUUCCAGUGACAUGAUGAUGACCGCUGACUCUGGUCGCCACACAGUUUUGGUUUUACUCGAUUUGACAUCUGGCUUUGAUACUCUGGAUCUAGGACUGGGCGAUAUAUCGAUAUACACGAUAUAUCGUGGGUUUGUCUCUGUGCGAAAUAGAAAAUGACUAUAUCGUGAUAUUCUGGUAUACGUUGUCACUCAUUUGCUUUUAGCUGCGGGCAUUACAUUACAGGCUCUUCUCGCUCUUUCCUGUGUCUCCUUCUCACAGACAGCAAGCACACAUUCUUACAUACGUCACAUACUGUCACGUCAUACGUCACAUACGUAUACGUCCUCGCAGAGCGGAGAGGUAGCAGCAUGGGUAUUGUUAGCUGUGAUGCUACCAGAGCCGUGCGAGUGGUAAUACGAGAGAAAGAAGGAAUAAUCAAUUCCCAAGAAAAACAGCAGGGGGUCCAUCGUGUGGCGAUGGUUUGGCUUCAAGUAGGAAUAUGUCGAACAGACAACCGUAAUUUGUCAAGUGUGGGCCAAAAGUGUUGCUACCAAAAGUAGCAUUACUGCUAAUAUGUAGCAUCAUUUGAAAAGUCACAUGCUAGAGAAUGAAGAGUGCUUACUGCGCAUGUCAAAAUCUCCAUCAAAAUGCAGAGGCAAACUUUUCCAGAUCAACACCGUAUGAAAAACAUAGUCAAGAACAGAAUUUAAUAACGUCCUUAGUAACCUACCACAUAGCGAAGGACGAACACUAUUUGAUGUCCUA